rnacentral:rRNA from 1 species
GAUUGAAACGACUGCUAAGACUGGAUAGGAAACAAAAAGGCAUCUUUUUGUUUUUAAAAGACCUUCUUACGAAGGUAUGCUUAAAGAGGGGCUUGCGCCACAUUAGUUAGUUGGUAGGGUAAAAGCCUACCAAGACGAUGAUGUGUAGCUGGACUGAGAGGUUGAACAGCCACAUUGGGACUGAGACACGGCCCAAACUCCUACGGGAGGCAGCAGUAGGGAAUUUUCGGCAAUGGAGGAAACUCUGACCGAGCAACGCCGCGUGAACGAUGAAGUAUUUCGGUAUGUAAAGUUCUUUUAUUGAAGAAGAAAAAGUAGUGGAAAAACUAUAUUGACGUUAUUCAAUGAAUAAGCCCCGGCUAACUAUGUGCCAGCAGCCGCGGUAAGACAUAGGGGGCGAGCGUUAUCCGGAAUUAUUGGGCGUAAAGGGUGCGUAGGCUGUUAGAUAAGUCUAUAAUUUAAUUUCAGUGCUUAACGCUGUCUUGUUAUAGAAACUGUCUUGACUAGAGUGAGAUAGAGGCAAGCGGAAUUCCAUGUGUAGCGGUAAAAUGUGUAAAUACAUGGAGGAACACCAGAAGCGUAGGCGGCUUGCUGGGUCUUUACUGACGCUGAGGCACGAAAGCGUGGGUAGCAAACAGGAUUAGAUACCCUGGUAGUCCACGCCGUAAACGAUGAGUACUAAGUGUCGGGGUAAAACUCGGUACUGAAGUUAACACAUUAAGUACUCCGCCUGAGUAGUACGUACGCAAGUAUGAAACUUAAAGGAAUUGACGGCACUCCGCACAAGCGGUGGAUCAUGUUGUUUAAUUCGAAGAUACACGAAAAAUCUUACCAGGUCUUGACAUACUCUGCAAAGCUAUAGAAAUAUAGUGGAGGUUAUCAGGGAUACAGGUGGUGCAUGGUUGUCGUCAGUUCGUGUCGUGAGAUGUUAGGUUAAGUCCUAAAACGAGCGCAACCCUUGUCGUUAAUUGCCAGCACGUAAUGGUGGGGACUUUAGCGAGACUGCCAAUUAAACAUUGGAGGAAGGUGAGGAUUACGUCAAAUCAUCAUGCCCCUUAUGAUCUGGGCUACAAACGUGAUACAAUGGCUGUGACAAAGAGUAGCUGAAACGCGAGUUUUUAGCCAAUCUCAAAAAAGCAGUCUCAGUUCGGAUUGAAGUCUGUAACUCGACUUCAUGAAGUUGGAAUCGCUAGUAAUCGCGAAUCAGCAUGUCGCGGUGAAUACGUUCUCGGGGUUUGUACACACCGCCCGUCAAAUC